UUUCCUCUGUGAAUUUUUCUAUCCCAUGACCUCUGAGGUAGCUCACGUGUUUGUGUGCUUGGAGGUUACUAUUGCAUCAAAUGCUUUCCCGCAUGACACCAUCCCACUACCAACUGCUCCCAUUAGCCUUCCAACUCACCUCCGUUAUCUGCAAGACUAUCUGCCCACUUCGGCAGUCACACAUCUGCUAGCUGAUCUCCUGAAAAUGCAGUUUGACCACGUUCAUUCCAAAACUACAGGACAUCCACCACGUGCCAGGAUACUUUCUUUUGAAAACCCACCAAUCUGCCCUUUAAUGAGAAACUAGUCCCUGAAAAGGCCCUUGGAUCAGA
rnacentral:lncRNA from 1 species